ACCGUAGUGCAGUGGCUAUGUCGUAACCAAUGAAGGUCUCCUGAGGUGCGAUUAUUUGCUAGUUGAAACUUUUACCAAUUUCAGUUAUAUUUAUAUAUAUUUAGUGAGAGAUAAUAGAAUUAGUAUUAUUACA
rnacentral:snRNA from 1 species